CCAGCUUCCUUUGCCAUAAUGGCUUAGAUCAAGUGUAGUAUCUGUUCUUUUCAGUUUAAUCUCUGAAAUUGUCCGUACUGGACAAAAUACGAUUAAACCCAAUUUUUACAACGCGAUCCCGGGACGCGCUGGGGGCUUGCUCCCAGGUGGUCCUGGGAUACCGUGUCUCUGGUAUCACACUGCUUCCAGAUGAUGCGAACCGGC
rnacentral:snRNA from 1 species